GUCUCGGUGGUGUAGUGGUAGCACACGCGCCCGAUAUGGGUGAGAUUCGGGUUCGACUCCCGCGCGAGGUU